GAUGAACGCUAGCGGGAGGCCUAACACAUGCAAGUCGAACGGGAUUGGUAGCAAUACCAUGAGAGUGGCGCACGGGUGAGUAACGCGUAUGCAACCUGCCUGUAACUGAGGGAUAGCCCAUAGAAAUGUGGAUUAACACCUCAUAGUUCUAUUGGAUCGCAUGGUUUGAUAGAUAAAACUCCGGUGGUUACAGAUGGGCAUGCGUGACAUUAGCUAGUUGGUGAGGUAACGGCUCACCAAGGCGACGAUGUCUAGGGGUUCUGAGAGGAUGAUCCCCCACACUGGUACUGAGACACGGACCAGACUCCUACGGGAGGCAGCAGUGAGGAAUAUUGGUCAAUGGGCGCAAGCCUGAACCAGCCAUCCCGCGUGCAGGAUGACGGCCCUAUGGGUUGUAAACUGCUUUUGUACAGGAAGAAAAAUCCCUACGAGUAGGGACCUGCCGGUACUGUACGAAUAAGCAUCGGCUAACUCCGUGCCAGCCGCCGCGUAAUAC
rnacentral:rRNA from 1 species